rnacentral:tRNA from 1 species
GCCCCGUUCGUCUAGCGGCCUAGGACGCCGGCCUCUCACGCCGGUAACACGGGUUCAAAUCCCGUACGGGGGUACA